UUUGCAAGCCGAGGGUCAAGGGUUCGAAUCCCUUAACCUCCAUUUAUUUAUUUUUAAAUAAGUGUGAAUUAAGCCUUUUAAGAAAUGGCUUGUAUUAAAAAAGCUAUUCAAACGUCUUGUUGCUUUUAAAGUGUUAUUUUUUUGAUUUAUUUAGGUGAAUUUAGUAUUUUAUUAUUUUAUGUUGAGUUAAUAAAUUCUUUCAUGAGCUUAAAAUAUAUGUCAUUUGUUAUCUUGAUGAAUUGCUUUUUAUGGAUUCCAAAAUUUGAUUACAUGCAAAAGCUUUAUUUUUAAUUAUUUUAUUCAUAUUAUCAAGGACCUGAUCAUGAAUCAACCUAAUUGAAUUGGGAUCAGGAGGAGUUGAACAUCCGACCUCAGG
rnacentral:misc_RNA from 1 species